UACGUAGGGUGCGAGCGUUAAUCGGAAUUACUGGGCGUAAAGUGUGCGCAGGCGGCCGAGCAAGUCGAGUGUGAAAGCCCCGGGCUUAACUUGGGAAUUGCGCUUGUGACUGGCGUGCUGGAGUGUGGCAGAGGGAGGUGGAAUUCCACGUGUAGCAGUGAAAUGCGUAGAGAUGUGGAGGAACACCGAUGGCGAAGGCAGCCUCCUGGGCCAGCACUGACGCUCAUGCACGAAAGCGUGGGGAGCAAACAGG
rnacentral:rRNA from 1 species